UUUGCCUUUGUUUGCAGGUACAUAGUUCAAAUGACAAUUUGUGACGACACUAAUCAGGCUACAGUUUUCAUCAUGGGAGAACAAGCAGAGCAACUAUUUAGAAUCAGUUAUGCAAAUUUGGUGAAUAAACGGUUCUACCCAACACACGAAUCUGCACCACCAGAAAUGGAAACAUUCAUCGGCCAAACCUACCUCUUUGAAUUAAAGGUCAAUCUCAAUAGUGAGUUGCUGGUGAGGAACAUCUUCCCAAAUGAGCAAGCUUCUGCGUCAUCAACACAACUUGAUCCAAGUAGUGCGACACCAGAUCGCCUCUCAUAUCACAGAAAGAGAGCCUGGGUUUAACUUUUCAACAGUUCCAAGAUCCAAAAUUUUGGAGACUCUCAGGGAAAAGGGUUGGGCUGGAAACAAAUAGGGUUUAUUUCUGAUUCUGAAAAAAGGGUGAAGAGGUACAUAUUCAAUCUUACCUGCAAUUUCACAUUUGAAACAACUCAUUUUGAGGGUUUCUCUGAUUAAUUUUAUUGUUCCUUCACGUAUUCCAUGUUUUCAACAACUUUUACAUUUAAUGGUUUGCUUACAUUUAUAACAAUAAAUGUCAUUUCACCAAAAACACAACUUAAUUAUUGUGAACAUUAAAUACAGUUUCCCUAAUUUCCUUGCUCAUACUUCUAACUGCAUGUCCAUCUGAUUUCAUUCUGAUUUAAAGUGAUGACUAGACCAAGCAUACAACCACAAUGCUAUCCUCAUCAACAUCAUCACUGCUAGACAAAGAACAAUAUGAAAAAAAGAACGAUUGAGUGAAGCUAAUUCACUCUCUUGUGCAUUUUCUCUAUAGCUACGAUCAUUGUAAUUUAGCUUUUUGGACAAACGCAGCUAACUGAUAAGUUUUCAAUGCAUCUGAAUGAACAUAAUUCGAUGCAUUUUGACUAGCUGCAGCUAUUGUAAUUUAACUUUUUGGACAAACGCAGCUAACUGAUCAGUCAAAAUAUUUUGUACAAUUAGAGUUAUUGCUAGCCCAACUUCAACUAAUGUUAUGAGACUAGCACUUUUUGUCAUAACUCCAAUUAAACAGUUGAAACUCAAUGUAAUAUAUGUGUGUAAAAACUGUUUUACUCUAUCAACAAUGUAUGAUAAUUUAUGCCUCUCAUUUCUUCUUUCUAACUUCAUCGCACACUACAUUUCGAACUUUGCAUGUUGGUGAUGUUACUGCUUCUAUUCGGUCUGCAAUUUAUUUCAUACUUAUCAAUAUUCAUAUUGCAUUGUUGUGUCUCUAAUUGUCUAAUACAUAACAGGUUUGUACUUCAUUUAAUGUUGCCCUUUUACAAUAUUACUAAGCUGGAUUUGCCUUUUUAUGUUAUCAUUUGUUUUUAUAUCUCGCACAAGAAAAUAGUACUCCAAUAUGUAAGUAAUCCAUAAACAAGACUUCCUCAAAAUUCAGGUAUAUCCUUUUAAUCAUUCGUUCUAGCAUCAUUUACAAUUGUCAUUUUAUCCCUUUCUUAACAUAGGUUACUUGAUUUUUAAAUAAGUAACUUUCACUUCAAUUUUUUUUUCUUUGUCCUGUACUCCAUCCAUAUUAACUGAUUUGUUUACCGAUUGAAAUUCAGAUUGAAAUAAACAAAUAUAUGCAGUGCUGCAACUCUUGAAAAACAUCUCUAUUACAAACAUGAGUGAAUUCUAUGCUGUCCACACCAUAUUAAGGCUGCCUGACAGUCAAACUACAAAGAAGCAAGCAUUUGAUGAGCACGGACCACUCUCUCAAGCCAGCACAGAGACUAUCUUUUCCCAAUACAAAAAAUGUUGCUUUAGAUCAUUGAAGAUGAUUUGAAGGCUGAUUAAUUGUGUACUACAAGCAAGUAUGGUAGAUAGCUCCUUCAGAUAAACAAAUCAUUCAAAAGGCAAUUCCUACAUCAUUGCGUCUUACUGCUACAACAGAAUACCAUUGCACAAAUUAUCCAACUUACUCAUGUUGAUGCAAAAAAUCCAUUACAUCAGGACCGAAUUCCAAGACAGCCAACACUCAAAAAACAAAAAACACCACCAUUCCGUGUUGUUCACCUAAGUAACCUCUAUCUGACUUCUUCCUAUUCAUACGAAGCAAUCAAAUUAGGCAACAAGUUAAUGGUGGCGGGAAUGAGGAAGAGAAAUUAGAAAAUAGGAUGGACGUAAUUGUUAAUCUCAAUGAAGAUGGCUUGGAGGAGCAUAGGGUGUUUCAACCCAUGCUUGACAACAAGCUGUUGGAACGUCGAAAAGUUGGACGUUUCAUUGAAACACCCUAUCUUCCUCCAAGUUAUCAUCAUUUAGAUCAACAAUUACCUCCCCCCCAUUCUCUAAUUUCUUCUCCUCAUUACCGCCACCAAUCACUUGCUCCCUAAUCGUACUACCAUUUAUGUACAUACUGAAGGCACUAAAAUCCAUCAAUCCACCGUAAACAAUCAGACAAGAUAUAACAGUUCAAACAUACAAGCUACAAUCCGCAGCACAACUCAACUUACAGCAAAGCAAAACCUCUCAAAUGAAACUGACUCAAAGAAGAUCAACAUGGAAGGAUUUUAUAUAUGCCAAUUACAAGAUUUAUAAAAUCCUUCAGUGUCAACCCUCUUUUCAGUCCUUCUACCUGAAGACUGACAGAUAAAACACACAAUCAUCAACAUCCUGCUCCUUCAAUGCAGCAUCACUCAGAAAUUAGUAAUCAAGACAAGGAACAUCAACUUCAUGCUAUCUUUCUCUUGCAACCUUCUUGAUGAGUCUCUCUUUCUCUGCAUACAGACUUUUCAAACAAGAUCCAUUUAUAUUUCCAAGUUUUAUGAAUCUAUGAAUGUCAACCAGCUUGAGAGCAUAUUGUCUUCCAUUUCAACUUCCAUUAUCGGAUACUCCAUCCACAGCAAAGUGUGGGCACGUUCUCUCUCACUUUCUAAAUCCAAACAAACAUAACAUUGACAUGGAUAAAGCAUACAGUGGCUACCGUUUGUAGUAAUGAUCAUAAACUUUAUGUAUAACACAUUUCCAGUUGUCUUUGUUGUUCUUUUGCAUAUUGUAUUGAUUAUGGAUUUCAGUGAUAUAAUGAAGUAAUACCACUGUUGCUUU